GGCCUCCCUGAUCGUAAAAGUAACACCAGAAGCAGUAAAAGUAAGAUAAGGCCUAGCUCAUCACAACAUUAUCCUCUGCAUGUUGAAGUGAGCCAAGGCAGAAGUUACUCAGCUCACCAAAAUUGAGCACCAUGCAUGCAUGUAUCUGGUCAAACAAAGGAAAAAGGAACCAAAGAGUACAAUCUCCUCCGAAAUAGGGGCACAACAACAUAGAGGAUCAUUGCCAUUGGUUCACGUGAAACAACUGAUUACUAGACACUUGAGACAAGUUCAGAAAUUCGUGUUAUUUUUUUCUUUUUCAAAUCAUAGUU
rnacentral:misc_RNA from 1 species